UCUUCCUUCUUUCCGCUGUGAGUUUUCCUGGAGUAGAGAUCGUGAACAACAUCUCGCGACGUUAACGGCGUCGGUCACGUUUUCGUAUUCGGCGAAUACGAAUUCUCGUUUAUAGAAGAUAUACGAGAAGAGCCAAAUAUGUCGGAAGAUACGAAAAAUCAGGAUAAUUUAAAACCUAAGAUGGAAAAUAAUGAUAAUUCUCAUCAAGGUGGUGGAGGAGGCGGUGGUGGUGGACCACCAGGACGUGGUGGACGCGGAGGUGGAAGAAGAGGAGGAGGUAAUAGCAGAUUUUCCGGUGGCCGUGGCGGAGGAGGAAUGGGAGGCGGCAGAAACAUGGAUGGAAAUAUGAAAAUGAGUGAAUCAAUGAUGGAUCCAGAUAUGGAAGGAAUGGACAGAGGGGGCCCAAUGGGUGGUGGUGGAAUGGGGGGAGGAAUGGGUCGUGGUGGAGGAAUGCGAGGUAGAGGACGCGGUGGUGGUGGCGGUGGCGGAGGUCCCGGAAGAGGAAUGGGAAACAUGAUGUCGCAGGAUGAUCGUUUAUUGGAGCGAGUAAUGAGUAUAAGUGGUCCAACGCACGAUUUACCACCUCAGGAUUGUACAGAAAAGAAAUUUAAUGGUCGAAAUCGUUUAUACAUUGGAAAUUUAACCAAUGACGUUACCGAAGAUGAAAUGAAAGAAAUGUUCGCACCUCAUGGUGAGGUUUCGGAAAUUUUCAUCAAUAAGGAGAAAAAUUUCGCCUUUUUAAAAAUGGAUUAUCGAUUAAAUGCCGAAAAAGCGAAACACGAAUUGGAUGGUAGUCAAAGAAAGGGACGCGCCCUUAAGGUUCGCUUUGCCCCAAGUUCCAGUGCCGUGAAGGUGAAAAAUCUAACACCCUGGGUAUCAAAUGAAUUAUUGGAGAAGGCAUUCAGUGUAUUUGGUGAUCUUGAACGUGCAAUUGUCAUUGUUGACGAGAGAGGAAAGUCAACUGGCGAAGGAAUUGUUGAAUUUUGCAGAAAACAGAGUGCACAAACGGCAUUGAGAAAAUGCACCGAUGGAUGUUACUUUUUAACAGCAUCAUUGCGUCCAGUUGUUGUUGAACCAUUUGAACAACAAGACGACAUUGACGGAUAUCCGGAUAAAAAUUUGCCAAAGAAAAAUCCGGAAUUUUAUAAAUCUCGCGAUGUUGGUCCUCGUUUUGCUCAAAUUGGUAGUUUUGAACACGAGUACGGAACAAAAUGGAAACAAUUACACGAACUCUGUAAGCAGAAAGAAGUGGCUCUAAAACGUGAAAUGGUCAUGGAGGAAGAAAAACUUGAAGCACAAAUGGAAUUUGCGCGUUAUGAACAUGAGACUGAAAUGUUGCGAGAGCAAUUAAGAUUACGGGAAGCUGAUCGCGAUAGACAAAAGCGUGAAUACGAAAUGAAGGAACGACAAGUUGAAGAAGUUCGUACACGUGAAGAGGAAUUAAGAAGACGUCAACAGGAAGAGAUGACAAAUCGCAUCAGGAGACAAGAAGAGGAACUUCAUAGAAGACAGCAGGAAAAUAACUUGUUCAUGCAAGAACAAGCAAUGAGAGGAGGCGUUGGAGGUGGCGGCGGUGGUGGAGCAGGAGUUAAAAAUUAUGAUUCAGUUGGAAACAACGAUCGUGAAGGUUAUGGAACGUCUGAUGGUGGAAACAACAUGCCAAUGGACUAUCCUUUUGAAUCUGCGAAUGCAUAUUUAAAAAAGGUGCGUGUUGCGGACUAUCUUGGAUCAUUCAAAUGAAGAAUUACACAUGAAAUGGAAAUUCAAUUAAAUUUUCACUGGAAUUAGAAAGGAAGAAAUAAAAGGGUUGAAAACCUGAUUUCUUUGAAUGGAUAUUGGAAUUCAGAAAUCAAUUCAAAUUAAUUCUCAUCAUGCCGAGUAUUUCAUUUUGGAUAUGGAAAAUCUGGCUUGGGAAAACUCGUUGAGAGAACGAGGUUGAAGAACCUUUUUCAUGAAGAAGUUACAAAAUGGGAGAAGAUAAAGAGAAAAAAAUUUCGGAACACAUCGCAAGGAACUUAAAGAAAAAUUGGAGGUUUCAAGGAUAAAAAAUGGAAAAAAAGAUUUGUUCAUUAACAAAUGAAAUUGAAUAAAAACUACUAGAGAAAAAAACUGAGGAUAAAAAAUAUUGGAUAUACUCUUACAAAUUUAUAAGAUAAAAAUGUUCGAGUGACCCGGUUUGGAAUAUGAAUUAGAAGCGGAAAACUUUGCUUCAUAGAUAUGGAGCCUUGUUAGCAAGAGAGACUGUUGAAAUUUAUUUAAAAAAAGAUUUUCAGUGACUGAAAAGCUUCAAAUUUGUCGUUGCAAAAAAAAAUCAAGAUUAACCAGAAUAAAUAAAAGCUCAAUUUUUUGCAGUUCAUAAAUUUAAAAAAAAAAACCGAACAUUUAUUGUUUCUGUAUUUAAUUUUAAAUAAAUGUUAUUUAUUAUAAA